CAAAUUUUUAAUUCUUAAUAUUUAUUUUAAAUUAUAAUAAAAUUAUAUAAUAUAUAUAUAUAUAUAUAUUUAGUAUGCAUAAUUAAAUUAUUAUUUUGAAUAAUAAAUAAAGUUAAAUAACUUAAUAUACACACAAAAUAGCACAGACUCAUUAAUUUUACAGUAUACUUCAUUUAAAAUAUUUAAAGGAAAUAUUUUAAAAGUAAUAGUUAGCAAUAAUUCAAAAAUAAAAAAAAAUCAGAAUAUUAAAAUUUAAACGGAAUUUUUUAAAAAUAUUUAGAGGGGCUUAUUGAAUUAGGUAUUUGAAAGAAUUCUGGUUUUUUUUUUGGCAAAUCUUACCUUAUUGGAUUUAGUAUUUAUAAAACCUUUUACAAAUCCAUAGUUAUUGAACUUAUCAUUUGUAUAAAUCCCAUUAAAUCACCCCUUAUUGGAAAAUUAGAAUUUCAUAAAUAAUAUUUAUCAAGAAUUAUUUUGGAUUAUCUAAAAUAAAUUUUGUAGUCAAAAUUCAGUUAGAGCAAAUACCACCUAAUGAGAUGGUAUUUCACAAAAAUAAAAAAGGGAUUUCAUCCUCUUCGUCUUAUCAUCCGUAAAAAAAUACGAAUGCGACUAGAUGUAGUUCUAUUACCCUAUGUGAUCCCAUAAAGCCGUGCUAUCACCACUGACUAUCGUCAUCUCCAACCACUAUCAAUAAACGCUAGUCGCAGACGUUUUCACCACGUCGGUUCCUGGACCCACUGCUAGAUAUACACUUGACAUGGUUCGGUUAUGUUCUUUUAACAAAAUUUUUUUUACUUGAUCUGAUGAUGAUUCAUAUGUUGCAGUAUUAUUCACUGUGAUGAUGAGCCUCUUAAGAUAAUUAAAGUUUUUGUUUACUCGUCAUAGAAAGGUUUGUUUCCAGAUUUUCUGUGGUUAAUUCAUAAAAGAAAUUUAAAGUUUAUUCAUAUCUGAAACUCCUAAAUCCAUUUUAACCACCUCCCUAAAAUUUUGUUUAAAUCCCGAGUUUUUAAAAAAUCUUUUGAAUUUUGUAUUUAACGAAAUCCUCUCAAAUUAUCAGUUCAAUAAGCUCCCCCCCCCCUUUAAACAAAAUUUUAGAAUUUUUUUUUGUAUUGAAAAAUUCGCUAUAUAUAUUUUAAAUUUUUUAAAUAAUACUUAAAAUUCUGUUAAAAAUUUAUAAAAAAAACAUAAAACUCAAAAAUACACAUUGAAUAAGUUUCCUAUCUAAUUUGUGAAUAUUUGGAUUUAAAAUUAGAAUAAUACAGAUCAUUAUUCUCCUCAAAACCAAAAAGUAAGUUCAAUUAAUUUCCAUAAAUUAAUUUUUUUUAAUAAGCCAUUUACAUAAAUUUAAUUAUAACAUAUAUAUAAUUUAAAUUCAGAAAUCAUAUAAUAAAUUGUAAUUUUCUUAACAAAAUUUUGUAAACUAAAACUAAUCAUGCGCUUUCAAAGCACACUUCAAAAUCUAAUAUAGUUUUACUUUUUAGUUUAUAUAGGUAAUCGAACAAUCUGUUAAACAUUAUAUAUCAUUUUUGUUCUCAUCUGUACAGGGUUUGGAACUAUAGAAGGAUUGUCUUAGAUUGUAUUACUUAAAUCAUUUACUUAAUUCAUACAAACUACUUCAUCAUGUUUACAUAAUACACGAAUACUACUUUGACUUGAAUACAAAAGCUUGCUAAUGUUUAGUCAGCCUUCUAAAUUUGUCAUACUAUUGCUGGAUUAUUUCCUUAAAUGAGAUAUUUCUGAUGAGCAAACGAAGACUUUAUCUUUUAGUCCAAGAUGCACAUUUAUUGUAUCAACAAAAUUGAAAGAAACAAAAAAAAGAAUUGGAUAGGCUUAGAUCUUGGACAGACUCACAGAAAUUUGCUGUUGACCGUAUUAUUUAACCAUAUAUUAAUGGAUCAUUUCAUCCUCAAUCACACAAACCUACAUCUUGUCUUGAAUAUAUAAUAGAGGUUGGGUUGUUAAUAGAGCUUAGUUUAAAAAGUUGAGUGCCAGAGAGACUUAUUUUAUAAAUGGAUUCUUCAAAAGUGUUGCUUACAUUUGCGCUCGUGGUUACAAUGUCCAUCUCCUACGAUCUUUUCUCCGGAAUAAACGCGAGAAUUGUGCCUCCGACUUGUUACGAGGGAUGUAACGCAACGUUUCAUAAUCCAGAAUGUAACAAAUUUUGUAUAGGAUUGCUUUAUAAAGAUGGUAGUUGCUUUGACCCAGAAGGUCCUUCUAAACGACCUUAUUAUCGUUGUUGUUGCGACCCUAUAAUUCUUCCACCUCCUUCUCUUUGAUCAAUAUAUCUGUCCUUCUGCUUUAUAAUAUCUAUACUUGAUAAAAAAACAAUUUUCUUUCUCGAA